GUUUAUAAAACUUAACCCUAUCCACCUACACAAUACGCUGUACCCAUUAACUUGACCUACCCAAUACCCACUCCACUCGCACUCGCACUCGCAGACGCAGUCUCGCGCUCGGCACUCAGCCGUUGACAGUCGGCACCUAGUACGCAGAAAAGCCUAUCAGACUCCUAGUGAAGGCGAAGUGAACCGCAGCCCGCAAGAACUGAGGCGCAGCCGCGCAGAAAUUCUCAUUUCACAUCCUGUUCGGCAACGGCAAUCGGCUCCCAGAAAACCCUAAACCAGUGAACCAGUUACCAGAUCCGUAGGUGCAGAACGGUAGAAACCUUCUUUCAGUCAUUCUCCAUUUCCCCUCUUGAAUCCCUGAUUCAGUGAUUCCUUUUUUCUUGAAGCUGAAGGUUGAAAAGUGAAAUUGUGAGUGUGAUUCCCUAACCCCAAUGUCCUGAAUCUCCGUUCACUGUUCGACGUCCUGCCCUUCUGGGCUGCACACUUGCACUACGAAGUGCGAUCGGGUACCAUCCAUCUCUCUCCGUCCCUCUACUCUCUCAUAUUCUCACUGAUCGACCAUCAUCUCAUUGGAAGCUUCUCCUACUUUGUCUUCCUCUGCAAGUGUUGUUUCGGUGUUUCUAGUUCCAGCUCGGCAGCUCUAUCUUGCUUUUCUCAACCUCCUCCCCACUUAAGUUCCCUGUCACUGACUCUCUCUCUGCUUCCUUUUCCUUUAGAGCUGCAAUCUCUAAUUUGCUUGGAAUCAUUGGGAUUUUUACUUUUUGUUCUCGUUUAUUUCAGAUUUUCCGAUUUGGACCAUUUGGUUUUCUUGAUCCGUGAAUCGAUUGCCUCAGCUGAGACUUGACGCUCCAGGGCCUUAAGCUACAGUGUUGUCGAUCCAAGGGAAGAUAGAGAAGAAGUUGAAUAAUUAGAAGUCAAAUUUUCAAACCUUUUGAUUAAUGAUUUGGGAGAAGUUUCUACAAACAAUCAAGACUAUUUAAGUUUUGUUGUUCUUUAUAAUCUUGUGAAUUUUUACGGUUUUUAUAAUUUUUUUUAAAGAACUCAUUUAAAUUCAGUUUUUUAUAUAAAUAUUUAAGAUUAUGUAAUGAUUGUGAAUAUUUGAUGCAUGUAUUAUGCAUAAUGUACGAAUUAAAAAAUAUGAAUGAACUUAUUAAAUAUUUUAAA